AGUCGAGGAUCUUCGGCAAUGCGCGCAAGCGCGACCGAGCGACGCCGCGUGGGCGACGAAGGCCUUCGGGUUGUAAAGCCCUGUCGAGGGGGAGGAAAGCCGCGAGGUUUGACCUAUCCCUGGAGGAAGCUCGGGCUAAGUUCGUGCCAGCAGCCGCGGUAAGACGAACCGAGCGAACGUUGUUCGGAAUCACUGGGCUUAAAGGGCGCGUAGGCGGGCUGCCGCGUCCGGGGUGAAAGCCUCCGGCUCAACCGGAGCAGGGCCUCGGGUACGGGCGGCCUCGAGGGGGGUAGGGGCGUGCGGAACUGUGGGUGGAGCGGUGAAAUGCGUUGAGAUCCACAGGAACUCCGGUGGCGAAGGCGGCACGCUGGACCUCAUCUGACGCUGAGGCGCGAAAGCCAGGGGAGCGAA
rnacentral:rRNA from 1 species